rnacentral:rRNA from 1 species
AGCGAACGCUGGCGGCAGGCUUAACACAUGCAAGUCGAGCGGGCACUUCGGUGUCAGCGGCAGACGGGUGAGUAACACGUGGGAACGUACCCUUUGGUUCGGAAUAACGCUGGGAAACUAGCGCUAAUACCGGAUACGCCCUUUUGGGGAAAGGCUUGCUGCCGAAGGAUCGGCCCGCGUCUGAUUAGCUAGUUGGUGGGGUAAUGGCCUACCAAGGCGACGAUCAGUAGCUGGUCUGAGAGGAUGAUCAGCCACACUGGGACUGAGACACGGCCCAGACUCAUACGGGAGGCAGCAGUGGGGAAUAUUGGACAAUGGGCGCAAGCCUGAUCAAGCCAUGCCGCGUGAGUGAUGAAGGCCUGAGGGUUGUAAAGCUCUUUUGUCCGGGACGAUAAUGACGGUACCGGAAGAAUAAGCCCCGGCUAACUUCGUG